GAUGAACGCUGGCGGCGUGCUUAACACAUGCAAGUCGAACGGAAAGGCCCUGCUUGCGUGGGGUGCUCGCGGGGCGAACGUGAGUGUAACACGGGAGUAUGCUUCCCUGGAGGGUGGGAUAACUUGAGGAGGGUGCUGAUAAUACCUGAGAGCUGCUCCUGCAGCAUGGGGGGGGUCGGACAUUUUAGGCGGUUGGGGAUGGUCGCUCGGCUUAUCAGUUUGUUGGUUGGGGAGUGGCUUAGCAGGGGAUUGAUGGGUAGCCUGCCUGAGAGGGUGAUCGGACACAUGGGGACUGAGAUACGGCCCAGAGUCGAAUGGUAGGCAACGGUGGGGAAUAUUACACAGCGGGCGGAAGCGUGAUGCAGAGACGCCGCGUGUGGGAAGACGGCCUUCGGGUUGUAAACCGCUUUCGCCUGAGACGAAGCGUGAGUGACGGUAAUGGGUAAAGAAGCACCGGCUAACUACGUG
rnacentral:rRNA from 1 species